UUCCGGCAAAAAUAGUAUUUCUUUCAUCUGUUUCAGCAAGUUUUCAACGAUGUCUUUGGGACUCGAUGCUUUCGGGUCUAGAAACCCGGGUUCAAUGUUAACUACAUAUGUAACAAGCUCGGUACAUAUGAUUUAUAUGCACCAGCUUGAGGGGGAGUGUUAGAAUAUGUAAUAGUAGAACUCUAACCAAUGUGUAUUAGGAGUAGCCUAAUCCAAUAUUUAUUAUGAGUAAGAUAGGUUAUGUAUA
rnacentral:lncRNA from 1 species